GAUGGACAGGUGACAGUGUUCCAUCCUACUGGCAGGUGGCAGCUACAUUGGAGCAGGAUGACAGGGACACUGCCUCACCUGGGUGACGGGCUGAGUAGCAGACACAGAUGUGCGACAUGACCCAACAGGGCUCUGGGAUGUGCCGCACCCCAUCUCCAGCCCUAGGGGCUCCACCUGGGCGGAGAUGCCAGCCAGAUGUCCUGUCACAGAAGUUGUUAGCUGUGCCCUGCCAGGCCAAAGAAAAGGGGUCAACAAACCACAGACUGAAACAUCUGAAUCCAGGAACCAAAGUAAACCUCUCCUGCUGCUGAGCUGAUCGCUCAGGUGUUCGUCACAGUGAGGGAAAGCUGCCCGGUACAGGGACGCAGAUGUUCAGACUGAAGCAGUCUCCCUUCUUCCCACUGUCCGUGUGAGGGACAGGCCAGUGGAAUGGGCCUAGCUCGCCUUCAGCCAUGUCUGGGGCCAUGCAGAGAUGACACCUGAGUCUGUCCCUUGGCCGCUCCAGUGCCCUGCCCUGCCCUGCCCGGCCCGGCCCGACACUGCUCUUUGGGCCACUGCAGCCCUCUCAGCCAGCAACCUGAUGGUAGCAAGCUUUCCCGGCACUGAGCUACCUUUGCACUGUGGCUGAAGUCACCUCACCCAGCACGGCACUGAGGGUGCCUGGCCCUGCUCCCCAGUGCCCAGGAUGCCUUGCUCCCUGGAUGGCACCAAAAUCAACCUCCCCCUGCUCUCCCGAGGCAAGCCCUCCCCCAGGAUCACCCGGCCUUUUCCUUUUCUCUUUUCCUACUACCAGGGAGCUGGGCCCUUCAUUACUGAGCUACAUCAUCAGUCCCCCUUUUGUUCUUUUCCUUUAGACAGAGUCUCACUAAAUUACCCAGGCAGGACUCAAAUUUGCAAUCCUCCUGCCUCAGCCUCCUUGAGUGCUGGGAUUACAGAUGUGCACCACCACACCUGGAUAUACCCAGCCUUUUUCUAACACCCCCUUGCCAUUUACACUGGCGCCUCAGCACCCUGGCC
rnacentral:lncRNA from 1 species